GCAGUGAGGUCUCCCCCAGGCUGAACAGACCAACUGACCUCAGCCACCCCUCAUAUGGCGUCCCCUCAAGGCCCUUCACAAUCUUCUUUGCCCCUCUUUUUUACUCCUCUUUGCUCUCUAAUAGUUUUUCUGCAUCAUUGUCUUUGGCUGUCUAUAUUUGCCUCUCAUUUCCUUUCCUCACCUUAUGCAGAAAAACCAAGACAGCAGGUAGUUCUCAGUAAGACCAAAUUUACUGCAGCUAGUUUCAAUUUCCAAUGUAGUAAUCAUUUUCAGCUGCAUUUUGGGGAAAAAAUGUAUUUCUGUUGUAUUUCUAGGCUUUUACUGCUUUCAUUUACAGUGCACACUAGGUUUCUUUGGGGGUGAGGGACAAAACUUUAAUGAUCUCCACUAUUAUCUCAUGGUAGGGUUCUCACAGCCUGUCAUCAGCAGGACACAGUUUAUCCACCAUUGACUUUUUCAGCUGGGAGAGAACAAAGGUGUAAAUGUCCAAAUCUCUGUGGUUCUGCCUUCUUGGCACUCUUUCUGAAAACUCUCAAAAUUGUUUUUGUGUGUGGUUGUCUGGGGGAAAUAGGGAAAUGAGAUGGGAAUAAGGUGAGAAGGUCUAGCAUAGAACUAGCAUAACUAGUUUUGAUUCCUCUCUCUAAGUCAAUCUUUGUUGGGGUUUUCUGUGAGUCUUUGAUCAGAAUCCAGGAAGAAAACAGGAGAAGAUUAAAGUUCAAAAGUGGCCAACUCAUCCAUGCAAUGGAGAGUGGAAUGGAAAUGAAUACAGCAGUAUGGCAGUCAUGUCUGUUGAAAGGAAGAGCUACUAAGUUUCCUAUAAAGGUUCCGAGGAGUAGGUUAAGACAAAAUAGGAUUCUUGUGGAUGCAACACGAUUGAUCAAAUGAGUACACAGAUCCUCUGGAUACUCCUGUGGGGGAACUCUUCAAUCUCUGACUUGGAGAAGUGCCAAUACCUUAAAAUGAACAAUAUUAAAGGAGUUUAUCAGAAGACUGGUGUGUGUUAGAGAACAGCCAUAAGGGUGAAGCUCAGCAGUGACCUUUCUUUAGAAGAUGUCAUGAUUGCAAAAGUACUUGGGAAGAAGAACUAGAGGUAUCUCUCUGUGCUGAAGAAGUAGAUGUCAUGGAAUACUGAAAUGCUGAUCAGAGUAUUCACUAGACAAAUACAAAUUUAGGAAAGGGUUCUGGGCUGUGUUUGGAUCAAAGAGUAUACCGAGGUCUAACAGCUUUUAAUUUCUGAUCUACUUAUAUAUUAUAUUGUUGUGUAUCAAUUUUCCAAAAAAAUCCUUUCCUUUCCUUUGUAAUAAUAGCUUUUCAAAUGAAUAGAUGUGCAUAAAUGAAGAAAUUAAGUUUUAUUUUAAAGUACAAAAGUCAAAAGACACCACUGUCUCCAUAAAAAGCUCACAAACAGGUAGAAUCAGCAUUUGGAUAAACUACUAUAAAAUUUCUUGCAACAGCUCCUCUUCACAAAAGCAUUCUCCAAAAAUAAAAGUUUGUAAUUACUAGAAACUUAAAAAGCAUAUGACAAAAAUAAAUUAAACAAAAAAAAAAAAAAGAAGAAGAAAAAAAGAAAAAAAAGAACACAGCAGUCAAACGUAAUUAAUUAAGCAUCACAUAUCUUUCCCAUCUAUUACUCAUCAUCAUCAACCUGUGUUGACAGGAUGUGGGCAAAGACAACCUGCGCUUGCCUUGAGCCUCUGCCGCAGUGGAUGCAGGAUGGAGACAGGAGAGGUUGGGGUUCCCGCUGUCGGGCUGGCAGGCUCGCUCUCCUGGGCCCGCCCGGCACUGAUUGUCACCACUGCCCUCACCAGUGCUGUGUGCUGUGUAGCAGCUCCCAGUCCUACCUAACGCCUUUGUCACUUUGGCAUUGAGAAGGUAAUGCUGGUGGCAUUGUAUUCCCUUGUUACUUAGACAUGCCUUUUCCAGACAAUUUUAAGACUGACACUGUAAGUCCUAAAAUUCUAUAAUAUUUUUUGUCUUGUUUCUCUAUCCAAUGAGCCGAACCUAAAACUGAUGGAAGUCAAUGACACCACUACAUUGACUGGGAUAGGUGGUGGUUUGUGUGCUAAGAGAAAACUCCCGAUAUUUUCUAGGAAAAAAAACAUCAAACCAAACUAAACAAACCAACCAACCAACCAACCAAGAUUUAAAUUAAAAUUCUUGUUUGGACAUUUAUACUUUAAAAACAGUGAUCUUCAUAUGUGUUUAUUUGAUCUGUAAUAUUUCAGGCAUCUAUCAAAAGCCCCAAGUAAAUAACACGGUUGAUCUAAAUCUGCAGGGUUUGAUGAAGUAGAUUAUACAGAAUGUACUCAUAUUUCAACACUAGCAUUUCACUACUUUUUCCAGUAUAUUUUUAAAUUACGAAUGCUUCCUCCAUUUGAAAUAAUGAUUUCAUUAGUCUUAUUCAAUAGUUCUAAUUUCGUAUCAGCAUAAAUAUAUUAAACCUGUCAUCAGGUGUUUCAGCAUCCAUUUAAAAACAUUAUUUCAUAUAUGUAUAUAAAAGAAUAGUUCUUAUAUUGUCAUGUUCUAAUAAUGCUCAGCUACAGAUUAUUCUGUUUGAUGGAAGAGUAAAGACAUUUGGAUGUCUAAUUCUUCAUUAGUCUUUUCCUUGCUGUAAUGAGCAAAGGUGUAAAUAUUAACACCUCUGAUUUUCAAGCAUUAGUUUAACCUAUCAUCCAGAAAUUCAAUUUCAUAUAUAGCCAAGCUACUUCAAAAUUGAACUACUUUACCCUUAGUGAGUAAUAUGACUUGAAUCUUUGAUUUACUGAUAUUUUGGUGUAUAAGAUUUCUGUUUCUGAAAUAUAACCUUUUAUUUAACCGCAACCUUUUUUGUUUAGUUAUGUUAAUUUAAAAUAUUUGAAAUGGCAUCUUUCAAAUGAUUCAAAGAUAAUGGAUUAAUUUCUGUUAUUGUUUGUAUGAUUUUCUCUUUAUAAAUUAUUUGUUGCAGACUUUGUAUUGUUUUACUGCUUGUAAUUGACAGCUUUAUAAUACCUAAGGGCAUAUUUGAAGUCUCUUUCUCCUUUCAAACACUCUAUCCACAGCAAUGGCUGGUUUUCUUUGUUUCUUUGCUGUCUGUGGAAAGCAGAUCAGAGGGUGCUACUGAAGGUGGUAGAAUAUUACAUUCUGUUGCAACUAGCAGUUUACUUAAGCUAUGUAACUAAGUGUCCUGUAAAAGCAAAAUGCAAUUGCCCUGGCAAAUCCAAUGUUUUCAUAAAUCAUGAGCAAAACUUUUAAGGUUGUGAAAACCUGAAAUAUUUGUAUCCACUUUUUAAUUGUUGAUGUGCUGAUGUCAAGCCACCGUGCAGUGUAUUUUUAGUAGCUCUCUCCAUGACUAGUUAUGUGUAGAAAUAAGAAGUAAGGGGGUAUCAUUUCUGGCAGAACUGGAGUGAAUUAGAAAUUCUUUUUUUGAGACAUUUUAAAAUAUUCACUUUUUUAACCUUCUUUAAAUCUACCUCUUGCUAUAUUUUGCAAGUGUAGGGACUUAAUGCAUGAUGCCUACAUAUGUGUACAUAAUAUUCUCUACCUUUUGUCUUUAAUAUUCCUUCAUUUUUAAUUAUUAAAGAUAAGUAUUUGAAUUAUAAAUAUUCUAGUUAUACAGGAAUAGGCAAAGCAGGCACAUACCCUCAGGCAAAAUUCUUCCAUUAUCCAUAAUCCUUCUGCCUCCUGCCUCCAUUUCUCUACCUCCUAUCUUUAUGUCGUCUCAAAAAACACAGAGGCAUUCUUUUAAACUAACCUUCUCCUCCCCACUUAAACCAUAGAAAUCCCUUCUCAAUAUGUAUAGGGGCCUAUUCCUUGAAGUGGGAUGUCAUACUUGUCCUAAAUAUAAUAAAGUGCUAUCUUCAAGGCAUUUCUGCAUCCAAAACACUCCCCAGAAACCUGCCUAGUCCUCCCAUCUAACCAGCCUGAAUGUCACAAAUCAUAGCACAGAAGCUGCUUUAUAGUGAAUCAUUAACAUUGUCAGGAAUGAGUUGGCAAGGAAAAAAAAAAAGCUUUCCAUUAGAGAACUGAAGAAGAAUAUACAAAUGACAGCAUUGUCAUUUCUCUUACAUUGUUUUAUAAAGUGCACAACUGAUUAGGAAGAGAUUAUUAUAGAAUAUAUACUCUGUGUGUGCAUACAUGACAAUUUUGUUUUCAUCCUCUAUGUUUAUAUGUAUGUAUGGAUGUGCUUUAGAUUAACUGUCUUACUUUAGGUUUUUGAAUUAUUUGAGUAGCAGUUUCAUUAUGUUGAAAGACUUUGCAUCCUCAACAAAUAUAACUAAGAGGUACAGAAAUGUAAGAUAUAUGUGGAAGAUGUUUCUAAUCUACAUAAAGAUUAAUAAAGAUAUUCCUAACUCCUAUUAGAAGGCAUCUGAAAAGGUCCUUUAGAAUAAUAAUUCUUCAGUAUAAAGAGACUGUUAUCUGAUUACAACUUGGAGGUAUGUGACUCUAAUGUAGGUGCUUUCUUGUCAAUUUUCCUGUUUGGCACAGCUUGAAUGGGAUAAUAUGCACUUAUAACAUGUAAUACAAUUAGUUCUCUUUUGAGCAUCAAAUAUUGUAAAGAAAGUCAUUUUGAUCAAUACAUGUGAUGCUUUUUAUAUAAAAACCUAAUAUAUUUGUGUUGUAAAUUAUGUUUUUUUUCCAUCUUCAUAUCUUAAAAGACAAUUGCAUGGAAUUAUACACGGCUUUGUUGUUCAAGGAGAUAAAAACGUGUCAAACCAUCACUGGCAAAAGAAAUGUCUGAGGAUAUACAGUAUACACCUAAAAAAAAGACGAUUGAUUUUCAAAGAAUGUUAAUUUGCUUUGACAAUGUGGUAGCUUUCUUUAAAUUGUUGUAAAAAGUAAUGAAAAGUAUGUAAAGCAGAAAAUAUUGCUCAGAAUUUCACAAGCAUUUGCACAAAUAAUUUUAGAGUGCUUUUCUUUGUCUUAGAUGGUCAUUUGCACAGUUAGGUCAUACUGACUACAUUGCUUUGAUGGAAAUCUGGAGUAUUUAAGCCAUUUCAGCUGAGUUUUGGAUUUAUCCUCAUGUCACUGACCGCAGGAUCUGGCUAUAUUCUGCAUAGUAAUUGUUAGCCAAAACCAACAAUUCCCCAAACUUUCAGUCUCCUACUGAUAUUUAGGUGUGGUUUCAGUGACAGCAUUACACAGACAGAGGGAAUCUAUUUUUUUCUCCUCUCAAAAAGGUUGAUUGUGCAAGAGCUGCUUCAGACAGAGCAAUUUACAUGGUAUCCAUCAACACACAAACGACUUCCUUCACAGGGCAACUGCCAGGAAUAUAUAGACUCCAAAGUACUGACACCAUAGCUGAGACAUGGCAGCCUAAUCAUGCUAAUACUCACAUGAUGUUGCCUCUAUAAUUACUACAGCUUGUCCCAAAACACAACUGGGAACUGGGUGAAAAGGACACUAUUCUUUCUACCUCUUUUCUGGUACAAUGGAGGUGAUUUUAAAGAAAGGUAAGAUGUGAAUACUAAGAGUAAUCCUAAUAAAAAUAAUAACACCUAAUAAAAAUAAUCAUAGAGUGAGUCUUUUCCUUUGAACAUUAUUCACAUCUUCCUCCAGGGAAUCUUGGGAGGUCUUUGCAUAAAGGUUUGAUCCCAUGGCUAGUCCACUUUGAGUACUGUUUGAGGUCCUAAGAAUUAAGCCUUACAGACAACCAAGGUGAAGUAGCUAUUAUCUGAUUGUUUCUAAUAUGAAGCCAUUACCUUUUUUACAGAAGAUGAAACUUCUACAGCCAGAGCCACUAAACACAGGCCCUUUUAUGACAGUGAGACUUUAAAUAGAAAUAUGCCAGAAAAGGAAAGGAGACAGGACAAGGUCCCAAAAUCCAUCAUUUCUCUAAGACAUGCCUCUAAGUAAGAGAGGCACAAGGAAGAAUUCCAUCUUAAGCAAGCAGUAAGAUUUUCUCUGCACUGGUAUACGGUUUGCUUGAUCAAGAAAAAGAAAAAAGGAGAGAAAAAAAGGAAACCAGUGUGAUUUACUGACCAUUUAUAGAGAAUUCUGUCUGAUAGGCAAAAAAAUGUAUGCAAAUAUGGUUUAUUACUGAUAAAAAACUGGAGAUUAAGUAACUCUUCCAUCAAUUAGAGAAAAUAUAGAUUUCUCUGUAUAGCAUGGCAUUGCUAACAUGUUACUGUCUUCUGUGUGUAUCUAGAGGAAAGCAUAAAAAUUAUUCCCUUUGGGAAACAGUA